UUUAGAGGAAGGAGAAGUCGUAACAAGGUUUCCGUAGGUGAACCUGCGGAAGGAUCAUUGUCGAAUCCUGCGAAGCAGACGACCGCGAACUCGUGUUACCGCCGGGCGUCGGGGACAGGGCUGCUGGGGGCUGGGGAGACUAAACCCUCCCCUCCUGGCUGCCCGCCCCGCCGCUCCCCGUGCGCUCGUCGCACGGACGAAUAACCCAACCCCGGCGCGGAAAGCGCCAAGGAAAACUCAAAGCGAUCGCCCGGCCCCCGACUGCCCCGUCCGCGGAUCGCAGGGGGGAUCGCCGUGGCGUCUUGUCGUAACCAAAACGACUCUCGGCAACGGAUAUCUCGGCUCUCGCAUCGAUGAAGAACGUAGCGAAAUGCGAUACUUGGUGUGAAUUGCAGAAUCCCGCGAACCAUCGAGUCUUUGAACGCAAGUUGCGCCCGAAGCCAUCAGGCCGAGGGCACGUCUGCCUGGGCGUCACGCAUCGCGUCGCCACCCCCAACCGUGCGGGGCGGCGGAGACUGGCCUCCCGUGCCCGUCGGGCGCGGCCGGCCUAAAUGCGAGUCCUCGGCGAGGGACGUCACGACUAGUGGUGGUUGAAUCCCUCAACUCGAGUCCUUGUCGUGCCGGCAACCCCCGCCGUCAUCCGGGCUCCGUCGACCCUCAAGCUCGCGCCUCGGCGUCGAGCCUCGACCGCGACCCCAGGUCAGGCGGGAUUACCCGCUGAGUUUA
rnacentral:rRNA from 1 species